AUUGAACGCUGGCGGCAUGCUUUACACAUGCAAGUCGAGCGGCAGCGCGGGGGCAACCCUGGCGGCGAGCGGCGAACGGGUGAGGAAUACAUCGGAACGUGCCCGAGAGUGGGGGAUAACGCCGCGAAAGCGGCGCUAAUACCGCAUAUUCUCUGAGGAGGAAAGUGGGGGACCGCAAGGCCUCACGCUCACGGAGCGGCCGAUGUCGGAUUAGCUAGUUGGUGGGGUAAAGGCUUACCAAGGCGACGAUCCGUAGCUGGUCUGAGAGGAUGAUCAGCCACACUGGGACUGAGACACGGCCCAGACUCCUACGGGAGGCAGCAGUGGGGAAUUUUGGACAAUGGGGGCAACCCUGAUCCAGCCAUGCCGCGUGCGGGAA
rnacentral:rRNA from 1 species